GGAAAAGGCAGGUGGAGAAGAGCAGGGCCCUUUGCUCCUCUGGGGCAGAGGGGUCAGCCCCUCAGCAGCCUCCGUGCUCCCCACCUGCCUGCCCUCAGAGCCGGGAGCACAGCCCUCCUCCUUGCUGCUUCCCCAGAGUGUGACAAGGGCAGACCGGGAUCCCUUCCCUUACCCUCAGCAGGACACAAACAGAGGCCACAACCUCUCAGGAGCAAAAAUGAUGUAUUUUGGGAAAAUGGGGGUAGGAAGAUGUAAUUAGCACACAGAGCAUGCAUGGGCUAACAGGAAAAAACAGGUUUUCUCUGCAUCCACGUCAUUGAUUUUUGGAGAAAAGUUUUCCUACAGUGAAAGGUGUGAGAAGCACACUCUGGUUGACCACACGAGACUCCUGUUUGAGGACAGCAUGGUGGGUAGUGGGGGGCUGAGGGACCUGCCACACUUGGCCCAUGCUGGCAGGGUUUAGCUGGGGACCACAGCUCCCCGCGUAGCAAGAUCCACUUGCCAUACUUGCCAUCCCUGUCUCUGGUCCACUUACACUAUUUAGACAGCUGUGGCUCCUGGGGGUGGCUUUGUGACUGUCACCUGUCAUCACUCUUGUCUGCUCUCAAGAGGAUGCACCCCCAUACUAGCAGGAUGCCCAGCUACCCAGGCCUGAAAUUGUUCCUUGUGCUGCUUUAAUUGGGAGAUGUGAAGUCCUCAGCAAAGCCCCAAUUUCUCUCCCAGGGCUAGUCCAAAAGAUGUCACCAUCGGCUGAGCUUCAACAGCCCUGCCGUCUAGAACUGAGCUGUUUCUGACUGGUCCCUGGCUCUGGGCCGUGGCGGAUACAGGCUGGCCUUCUGGAAGGGGAUCUUCUGGUGCUUUGUCUUCUUUACUGGGCUUCAGACAGGGCAGAAGGAGUCUCAUCCUUUUCCUGAAUCAGCAUUCUGGAAAACCUUGUUCCUUCUCUGGCAGGAGCUGGAGGUCUUUGCUCCCAAGGAUGUUUCCUAUUCCGCUGACCAGGGGAGAGUGGCUCAUCCCACUGGCCUGGGAAGCCCCCAGUCCUGGAAAUCUCUCUCCAUCCUCUCCUGGUCCAGGACUCAUAUACUCCUCCUUCUCAGCAACUUGGGGAAGCCGACUCUUCCAUAGGGCCUUACGUUUUGGUCUCCUAGGCUGCUGCUGCCCCUGAAUCCCCUGUCUACUAGAUUGGAGGUCAUAUGGCACCUGGAAAGCUGCCACGUCCCCACUGUUGUAUUCCCUCUGGGACCUGGACAGUGACCAGUGAGAAGCCAACACAUGUGUGGCAUGGAGCACACAAGUGUGAGAGUCUCGAAGGAGCCGGCCAGCAGCAUGGCCUUGAGGCUGGGUCUGACACGACCUUCCCUUGCAGCUCAGUCUUACUGGUGAGCUUCAUUUUCAAGCACAGCUCCUUUGGAUCUUGGGCAACUGACUUUGUAGGUGGUGAGGGGCUUGUCCUGGACCCUGGAGACACUGGAUUCCUCACAGGCACAUUCACGGUUUGGGGAGUUGGCCAGCACACUGGGUCUCAACAUGAGAUGUCAAAGAAGCGCCUCCUCAAACUCCACAAGCUCACUCGGCCCCUCAGCCCCCGAAGACUGGGACCCUGAGCUGCCCUCCAGUCUUGCUACCCCACGGCAGGGAUCUUGUGAGGCCCCACCCUACUCUCCUCCCUUGGCUCAUUCCUGGCCAUUGCUGAACCUGGACUCAACUCUAACUGCCUCGCUCGGCCCCCACGACCGUCCCACUCUGCCAGCUUCUGCCCGGGAGGCUGAGUGUGAAGGUCUGAGAAGGCGGCCUGUCCUCCUGUCCAUCAGAGGGGCCUCUGAGGGCCCACAGCCAUCACCAGGUAGAGUCCCUCCAGGGCCUUCUGGAUUUCCUCACCCACAGGUGAGGGAGCAGAGAGGGGACGGGCCAGGGUAGGAAGUGACUCUUUUGUUAUUAAACUGUUUUGUUUCUCUGGCGGAGGAGGCUGAAGAGGUUUUCUCAAGAACUUGGUAAAGUUGGCUUCCGAGAGGCCCCAGAUUCACAGGUGGCUGAGGAGGGAAAGUGGACCAUGGAAGAGGUCGGGGGUGCUCGGUCAGAGGAGCCAGGGGAACUGCUGGCGACAUGGCGAGGGCAGCAUCUUCCACAGGCUCCCUGCAUGGCUGAUGGGCUCAGCAUAUGCUGUUUUGCGGACCUCCCCAGGGGAGUCUGGACAUGACAGCCAAUGAAAGCCAGCCUUGUGAGAGAGCCUCCCCAGGAACUGCAGGAGACAGGAGGCACAAGCUGCAGCCAGGAGCAGAGGGCCCCAGGAGGGCUGGGCAGGCCAGGCAGUGUGGCCAUUAAGGGCCACGGCCCUCCACAGCCUCAACCCUCAAGUCACAAAAUUCUCCUGUUGUCCCUCACCCCAGGCCUUUAGCCACACCCUGUCCCCAUGGCCCCCUCCCAGCUCAGCCCCAAGCUGCCUACAGCCCUGGAGUCACAUCAGAGGUUCUGGGAGAAAGAAGGACCCAGGAGAGAUGAAAAGAUUCUUGACCUUUGUGGAACAGAAAUCAGGCCCUGCACUUCUAGUCCUUUCCGACCAUCUCUGUAAGCUGGAAAUCAGGAGACUGGGUCACCGUGCUGAAGGCAGGAGCCUAGGGGUCUUACAGGAGGCUGCAAGAAUGUCCCUUUAGGGGCCACAGUUGAGAGGUCAGACUCUGGAGCCCAGGCAUUAUAUCCAAGGCCAUGGGAUCCCUGACGGGGAUGGCAAGGCUCCUGACGGGUUAAGCUUUCUCUUUGACAAAGUGCUUCCACAUCCACCACAGCCCACAGGGCCUACUGGGCAACACCCAUUUCCAGGCCCCUCCACACUUGGGGCUUGCUUCCCAGCACAGACUCUGGCAAGUCUCUGGGUUCUCAUCUCCUUCCUGGGAGCUUCCCAGAGGGCUCUGUUUCCUGAGGGACAGGCUCUGCCCCUGGCAUCCUCAGAGCCCGUGGAGCUGGGCGCUCAGGGACAGGAGAUGGAGGCCAGCUCUGGGACACAGGGCUGAAUGGCAGAAGCUCACCUUGCAAAAUUCCACUUUUCCUCCUACUCCUGCUGCUCCUCCCUCUCGGCUGCUCUUGAUGCUGAGAAGCAAGAAAAAACAAAAGACACCAGGGGCUGAGACCCAGGGCUCCCUCUCCUCUGUCUAGGCCAGCUGCAGACGCUCAGUGUCCAUGAGCAAGAGGACCUUCUAUACUGAACUCCUGGAGCUCUGUGGUCUUUCUUCCCUUUUGAACAUAAAAUGGAUAUUUGCUGUCUUCCUUCUUUGAAGAACAUAAGGAUUUUCUGUGUGAGACCCACCAUGGAUUUCUUCCAUCACUGUCCUCUGCUCAAGAAACACGCACCUUCUCAGACGUACAGAUGCUUCUGAGCUUCUCAGGCAGGAUUCUGCUUCCUGAGGCCAGAGCCCCACUCCAGGCCCUGCUCGGAGGCUCUCGGGGGCUCAGCACUGCUCUAAGAUCAGCCCCCACGAGGAAAGGUCCGGCUCAUCCACCUGCCACGGGGAGGCAGAUGGGGAACCAGUGCUCAGGGCCUGUCUGCCCACACAGGUCCCACUCAGCAUCCAGUCCUCGGCCGCUGGUCACUGCACUGGGGAGUUUCCCUGGAGCCCUCUGCCACACCUGGACUCAUGCUCCGAGAUCUUCGCAUGGAAAUCCUUGUGCCUACUCUAAGUCCUGCCUCCCCACCUGGCUUGUCCCUAGAAGGGUGAUGUUCUAUUCUUGCCCAUUCCAGGACCAGGAGUCUCUCUAGUUGAUUCAGAAAAGUGGACAUCACAGUAGAAAAGAAGAGAGAAUCAACUUCUGGUGGGUCUUGGCCAAGGGUUCCUCACCUUCCUCAUGUUUCUACGUUUGCAAGGUGGUCGUGAAGAUGGAUUAUUCUGGACGUAGGGAAGGAACAUGAGGAAGAACCCCAGUCCACACUGGAAGCUCACCAGCACACCAACAAGUCUCCAGCAGAGUAAGAGCGAAUCACAGCCAAAAGAACAGACUUUCUCUGUGGAGAACUUAGGGAAGCCCAAAGUCAGGAGGGGAGAUACGAACAAGGACACUGCAGGAAUCUGGAGCCUCUGGCACCGAUAUUACCACAGACAUUAAACAUGGCCCAACUGAUAAAGAUCAGAAAGUUGGAUCUACACAAAGGAGGAGCUUCCAAGAAGGAAUUAAUGAGGAUGGGGAGUCGAUUUGGAUUACAGGACACUCUGGAGUAGGAGAAAGAGUAAGGUUGAGUGAAUGCCUCUGAACGGAGCCAACUGCCUGAUUCCCACCACCAGGUCCUUAUAAAGUCAUCUUCACCGAUGGAACGGCCAGCUGUGGGUCAGACAUCACAAUUAUCAUUAGGACCAAAAGCUGGGUAAACUUUUAGAGGGACUACCUUGGAAGUACAGACAAAGGCAAGACAAAAUUGAGAAGAGGCCUUUUAAUAAUUUGAAAACUGAUCAUAUUUACAACAUAUGUAUCAAUAGCAGGAAAACGCUCGUGGGGGAAUUACCUAAUAACUAUCAAUGUAGGGAUAGCAUCUACAAUUCAGUCAUUCUCAGAUUUUUCAGUGAAAUGUUCCCUAACCAUGAGGAAAGUAGACCUAUAUGUGGAUGAGAGCCUGGCGUGCAGCCAGAGGCAGUCAUCUCAAGCCUGAAAUAUCUGUAAAAUUUACAUAAAUGUUGCAUUAUACUCCAGAAUAGAGCUAUGUUUAUUGUGACAUAGCAGUAUUGCUUCCAAUUUAAAAAUUUUAGUUAAAAUCCUUUGAAAUAUUAAGCAGUUUAAGCAAAACUGACCUCCAGGACGAGGAUUGCUCUAUGGCCCAGGCAUACAUACAUCCCUGGCACGGAGCACCCCACUGUGAGAAGCAUAGCUCUACAUUUUCUUAAGACAUUCAAAUUAAAUCUUUCUUUUAAAAAAAAUGUCUAAACUCCAACACUGAGUCUUUGCUCAAACGAUCCCUUCCAUCUGGAACACUUUUCCUAGCCUUUCCCAUGAAUCUC
ensembl:lncRNA